GGUCUGAGUCAUGAGCGGUGUGUGGCAGGACUGCAAAUGGUCCUCAUGACCCUCGAGGCGAGCCCCGAUAAGGAACACUCUGUGAGGCUCACGUGGCCGGAUGACUUGACAGAGCAUAAGAGGAGCUCUUAAGAAAUAUUUAGCUUGCAGUUGUUUAGGUUGAUGAAAAACACAUCCUAUAAUCAUUAAUCGAUGCCUGGCCUUCUGCUGCUGCAACCUAAUAAAAGCUCAGGGGAGUGCUGACUUGGUGCUUAGUCUCCAGAGAAAGUCUAAGCCCUCUGCUUAAAAUGCCUUCUGACUCGGUUUCUCAUUUUCGUGACCCCUGACUGCAACAUCUGGCACCCAACGUGGGGCUCGAAAGUGACAGACUUUGACUGACUUCAGGCCGGUCAGAACCGAAAGGAUUCACUUACGCCCCGAGAAAAAAUCAGGAAAAUGGAGAAUGGUGACUGAUCUAAGAAAAAUAAAUGCUGUUAUUCAACCUAUGGAUCCUCUACAACCUGGACUAGACUACCACAACCCGUCUGGAGAAGAGCUACCGGAAAACAUCAGUGAGCUGAACAACAACAGCAGUCUUCUCACUAAUGUUACAAAAGAUGCAAGCUAAACAAGGGGGAAAUGUAGAUCCUGUAGAUACCCCAGCAGUUUAACCUCGCUGUAAUUUAGUUGCUGCUUAAACUUAAUCUAUAGCCGAAACUAAUCUAAGAGAAAGAACAAUACGUUUACUGUUUAAGCUUGAUUUGUAGCCGAAACUAAUCUAAGAGAAAAGAACAAUAAGCGUUGCAUCUUGGAAUCUGGUCUGAGUCAUGAGCGGUGUGUGGCAGGACUGCAAACGGUCCUCGUGACCCUCGAGGCGAGCCCCGAUAAGGAACACUCUGUGAGGCUCACGUGGCCGGAUGACUUGACAGAGCAUAAGAGGAGCUCUUAAGAAAGAUUUAGCUUGCAGUUGUUUCGGUUGAUGAAAAACACAUCCUAUAAUCAUUAAUCGAUGCCUGGCCUUCUGCGGUUGCAACCUAAUAAAAGCUCAGGGGAGCGCUGACUUGGUGCUUAGUCUCCAGAGAAAGUCUAAGCCCUCUGCUAAACGUCUUCUGACUCGGUUUCUCAUUUUCGCGGUCCCCGACUGCAUCAGCCCCAGGUCCCCAGGGCUACAGUCAUUGGUCAUGCUCUUCUUUCUCAUUCCCAGUAAAUUCACUUUCAGAUGAAUUUGUAUUCUUUAUCCUAAAGGGGGGGUCCUUAAAAUUGGACUGGCCGGGCUCUUCCUCCUUACAACCCCCUCUCCACGCGGGCCAGGCCCUCUCACACAGCCCUCCAGGGGCUCACCUGCUGUGGCCCCGGGGAGAUCGGCCCCUCCAUAACGGUCUCCCACCACCGGGCCGCACCCUCUCAGCUCCGCCGCAUCAGCCCUUCCCAGUCCCUCAGGCCGCUCAGGAGCCUUAGACCUGCCUGGGCCGCGACACCAGCCCCUUGGCCCGGGAACUCCCGCUGAACCUUCAGCAUUUGGUUUCAACAGCUCUUGCCCAGCAAGGCCUCCCUGAUCCCCAGACCAUGUCGCUCGCCUCACACCUGGACUUGCCCUCGGCACCUGCGUGAGGUGGCCCUGCUCUUCCCCUGGGGGGCCCCCACGCCUUCACCCAGCUGUUCAGGUCAAAAAUCCUAAAGCCCCCAAGAUUCCUCUCUUCCUUUCAGUCCCACAUCUAAUUGAUCAGGAAAUCCUUUCAAUUUUUCAAAUUACGUUCCUAGUCCAACCAUUUCUGGCGG